UACGUAGGGGGCGAGCGUUGUCCGGAUUCAUUGGGCGUAAAGAGCUCGUAGGCGGCUUGGCAAGUCGGGUGUGAAAACUCCAGGCUCAACCUGGAGACGCCACCCGAUACUGCCAUGGCUUGAGUCCGGUAGGGGACCACGGAAUUCCUGGUGUAGCGGUGAAAUGCGCAGAUAUCAGGAGGAACACCGGUGGCGAAGGCGGUGGUCUGGGCCGGUACUGACGCUGAGGAGCGAAAGCGUGGGUAGCAAACAGG
rnacentral:rRNA from 1 species